AUACGUACCUGGCAGGGGGGACACCAUGAUCACGAAGGUGGUUUUCCCAGAGCGAGGCUCAUCCAUUGCACUCCAGGUGUGCUGACCCCUGAAAUUUCCCCAAAUGUAGGAAACUCGACUGCAUAAUUUGUGGUAGUGGGGGACUGCAUUCACGCUCUCCCCCU
rnacentral:snRNA from 1 species